rnacentral:rRNA from 1 species
GACGAACGCUGGCGGCGUGCUUAACACAUGCAAGUCGAACGGAAAGGCCCUGCUUUUGUGGGGUGCUCGAGUGGCGAACGGGUGAGUAACACGUGAGUAACCUGCCCUUGACUUUGGGAUAACUUCAGGAAACUGGGGCUAAUACCGGAUAGCAGCCCCUGCUGCAGGGUGGGGGUUGGAAAGUUUCGUCGGUUGGGGAUGGACUCGCGGCUUAUCAGCUUGUUGGUGGGGUAGUGGCUUACCAAGGCCUUGACGGGUAGCCGGCCUGAGAGGGUGACCGGCCACACUGGGACUGAGAUACGGCCCAGACUCCUACGGGAGGCAGCAGUGGGGAAUAUUGCACAAUGGGCGGAAGCCUGAUGCAGCAACGCCGCGUGCGGGAUGACGGCCUUCGGGUUGUAAACCGCUUUCGCCUGUGACGAAGCGUGAGUGACGGUAAUGGGUGAAGAAGCACCGGCUAACUACGUG